rnacentral:rRNA from 1 species
CAGUCGCCGCGGGAAUACGGAGGGGGCAAGCGUUAUCCGGAAUUAUUGGGCGUAAAGGGUACGUAGGUGGCCUUUUAAGCGUAGGGUAUAAGGCAAUGGCUCAACCAUUGUUCGCCCUAUGAACUGGAAGGCUUGAGUGCAGGAGAGGAAAGCGGAAUUCCUAGUGUAGCGGUGGAAUGCAUAGAUAUUAGGAGGAACAUCAGCGGCGAAGGCGGCUUUCUGGACUGCAACUGACACUGAGGUACGAAAGCGUGGGGAGCAAACAGGAUUAGAUACCCCGGUAGUCCCUGUCUCUUAUACA